rnacentral:rRNA from 1 species
GAUGAACGCUGGCGGCGUGCCUAAUACAUGCAAGUCGAGCGAACAGACGAGGAGCUUGCUCCUUCGACGUUAGCGGCGGACGGGUGAGUAACACGUAGUUAACCUACCUAUAAGACUGGGAUAACUUCGGGAAACCGGAGCUAAUACCGGAUAAUAUUUCGAACCGCAUGGUUCGAUAGUGAAAGAUGGCUUUGCUAUCACUUAUAGAUGGACCUGCGCCGUAUUAGCUAGUUGGUAAGGUAACGGCUUACCAAGGCAACGAUACGUAGCCGACCUGAGAGGGUGAUCGGCCACACUGGAACUGAGACACGGUCCAGACUCCUACGGGAGGCAGCAGUAGGGAAUCUUCCGCAAUGGGCGAAAGCCUGACGGAGCAACGCCGCGUGAGUGAUGAAGGUCUUCGGAUCGUAAAACUCUGUUAUUAGGGAAGAACAAACGUGUAAGUAACUGUGCACGUCUUGACGGUACCUAAUCGGAAAGCCACGGCUAACUACGUG